GAGGGUAUAGCUCAAGUGGUAGAGUGCAUGCUUAGCAUGCAUGAGGUCCUGGGUUCAAUCCCCAGUAUCUCCA
rnacentral:tRNA from 1 species